rnacentral:rRNA from 1 species
CCAGACUCCUACGGGAGGCAGCAGUGGGGAAUAUUGCACAAUGGGGGAAACCCUGAUGCAGCAACGCCGCGUGAAGGAAGACGGUUUUCGGAUUGUAAACUUCUAUCAAUAGGGAAGAAAGAAAUGACGGUACCUAAAUAAGAAGCCCCGGCUAACUACGUGCCAGCAGCCGCGGUAAUACGUAUGGUGCAAGCGUUAUCCGGAUUUACUGGGCGUAAAGGGAGCGCAGGCGGCGCGCCAAGUCUGAUGUGAAACCCCGGGGCUCAACCCCGGGCAUGCAUUGGAAACUGGCGGGCUGGAGUGCCGGAGAGGUAAGCGGAAUUCCUAGUGUAGCGGUGAAAUGCGUAGAUAUUAGGAGGAACACCAGUGGCGAAGGCGGCUUACUGGACGGCAACUGACGCUGAGGCUCGAAAGCGUGGGGAGCAAACAGGAUUAGAUACCCCGGUA